CUUGAUUUGCAUUCCUCAAUCCUACAUGAGUAAAACACAAUACAGAAGCAUCCAAAUGAUCGAAGGUGGGUGCUCGUCAAACGAACAAACAAGACAAUGAAGCUUUCUUUCGGAAAAAAGAAAGGAAAUGAAGCCAACAAGAACAACAACAAACAACGCAAGUUCAACCUUGAAGAAACCCCUGACCUAAUUGCCAUGCACGAAGACAAGCAACAAUCUGAAGUGCUGCUAUUGCUCCACGCUCACAAGAAGCAACAACAAAAGCCAGCCUUGUGCUGUCAGCCUUUCUUUCACGACAACUUGUCGCAUCUUUUCAUUGGUUCUUCAUGUAGAGUAGUAUACGAAAAAUCACUAGCAUGAACAACUUAAAUGUGGAAGAUAUAAAGUGUGCCAUUUAACUUGUCCGGGACAACUUUUCUGAAAGCCAUGUAUCUUUCUCACUUCCCAAACUCCACAGUCCAUCAUUAAUUCCAUUCAACUGAUGCCAUCUCCCACACUUCAAUGUCUCAUCAUCAUAAUCUUGAUGCCAAGUAUCCCAAAGCAAUCUCUUUCUUUCACUACUGUGAGUGUCUUGCCCCCAACAAGCAUCGGACACUUUGGGUUGUGGGCAAGAAAACCUGGAGGGAAUGCAUGGGGCUGGGCAAAGGACACAAUGAUGCUAAAGCAACGGAGGAGGAGGCGGGGGCGGUGGCGGUGGCGAAGCAAAACAGCUAGCAGCUCUCCUUAUCCAUCACUUUUUUGCUGAGUGUGUCAGUGAAUGAAUGCUUCUACUUCCUCUUUCCAUUUAUUGUGCCCUGAUCUGAUCUGUAAAGGGUAAAUGACUGAGAAAUCACCAUGCUCAUGUAUUCGUAAUUCUGUCUAAGUUUUAGAAUGACAUAAAUGAUGGAAUUAGUCAUUCUAUAAAUCA